rnacentral:rRNA from 1 species
CGGCGGACGGGUGAGUAACACGUGGAUAACCUACCUAUAAGACUGGGAUAACUUCGGGAAACCGGAGCUAAUACCGGAUAAUAUAUUGAACCGCAUGGUUCAAUAGUGAAAGACGGUUUUGCUGUCACUUAUAGAUGGAUCCGCGUCGCAUUAGCUAGUUGGUAAGGUAACGGCUUACCAAGGCAACGAUGCGUAGCCGACCUGAGAGGGUGAUCGGCCACACUGGAACUGAUACACGGCCCAG